UGUAGUAGAUAGAGGAUACAGUAAAAGUAGAGGUAAUAGAUAAAAGUAAAUAAAAAUAUAUAGAAAAAGUAGCAAGUAGAGUAGUAGAGAUUAUAAGUAAGAGGAAAAGUAGUUAAGUAGAUGGAGGAGAAGAGUAGAGUAAAUGAAAAGUAGCAGAAGUAGAAUGACGUAGUAAAUAAAUCUAAUAAAAGUGAAAAAGUAGACAGGUUACCCCCAAAAUAAAAAUAAUAAUACACAAAUACACACACAGUAAUAGUUUAAAAUUGGGUCACCAUCUAAUAUAUAUAUAGCAAUUUAAUACUUAUAGAAUCCUAAUGUAUCUUCGUUCUUGGUCAAUUUUCUUUCAUGAGGUUAUUGGGUCCUAUAUGUGUCCUGUCUAUAUAUGUUUCUUCCUUAUUAAUAGCCUGGCUUCUUCCUAUUGUUACAGGCUAGCUAGGUCCUUAUUAGUACAGGUAUAGCUAUAGGUCCUCAUUGUUACAGGCUAGCUAGGUCCUUAUUAGUACAGGUAUAGCUAUAGAUCCUCAUUGUUACAGGCUAGCUAGGUCCUUAUUGGUACAGGUAUGGCUAUAGGUCCUCAUUGUUACAGGCUAGCUAGGUCCUUGUUAGUACAGGUAUGGCAAGGUCUUCAUUGGUACAAGCUGACUUCUUCCUUAUUAAGACAUGGCUAUAGGUCUUUUUUCCUCUGCACAUCUCAAGAAAAGAAAGGAAAUAAAUGAAGAGAAUAAUAAAUGGGGAUAGAAAUGUAUAUGACAAUUUUAUUUACAUUACAGUUUUCUCUUAACACACACACACACACACACACAUUUUCUUCUCUCCUUCCCUUCCUUCUUUCUUCUCUUCCAUAUCUCUCUUCCUCUUCCUAUCCCUUUUCUCUCUCAUAACUCCAUCUUUCUUUCUCUUUUCUCUCCUUCCAUAUAUUUCCUUCCCUUCCUUCUUCCGUCCUCUCUUCCAUAUCCUUCUUUUGCUCUCUCGUUCUCUCUCUCCCUUCCUCUUCCCUUCCCCUCUCUUCUCUCCUUAUAAAUAUUUCUUUUGCUUCCCUUCUCUCCUUCAUAUCUUUCUUCCUCUCCUUUUUCUCUCUCUCAUAACUCCUUCC